rnacentral:hammerhead_ribozyme from 13 species
CUUGAGUCUGGAGUUCAAAUCCGGGACGGGACGGUGAAUAUAUACUACUGAUGAGCUCAAAUAAGAGCGAAACUCGAG